rnacentral:rRNA from 1 species
UACAGGGGGUGCAAACGUUGCUCGGAAUUAUUGGGCGUAAAGCGCGCGUAGGCGGCUACUUAUGUCGGAUGUGAAAGCCCUUGGCUCAACUGAGGAAGUGCACCCGAAACUGAGUAGCUGGAGUACGAAAGAGGGUCGCGGAAUUCCCGGUGUAGAGGUGAAAUUCGUAGAUAUCGGGAGGAACACCGGUGGCGAAGGCGGCGACCUGGGUCGAUACUGACGCUGAGGCGCGAAAGCGUGGGGAGCAAACAGG